rnacentral:snRNA from 1 species
GAAUGUGAGGGCGAUCUGACUGUGACAUCUGUCACCCCACUGAUCUCCAGGGUUGAUUUGGCUGAUCUAGCUGACUAGGAAGGUGUCCCCUUCCUCCCUCACUGCUCCAUGUGCUUCCCUCCUGAAGCUGCGCACUGGGUCAAAGAGGACGGCCUUCCCUGAACAGAGAUGGACUGGACUUAUCUUCGGUACAAGUAGCUGUGCUCCCCUGCUAGAACCUCCAAACAAGCUCUCAAAUUAGGAAUCUGAAAAGAGCAGUACAGAUAAUUCCCAUGUCAGACCUCAGUAUUAGAAAAUCCUUCU